CGUGCGAAUAGGGCGGUACCGUGACGGUACCUAACGAGAAAGCCGCGGCUAACUACGUGCCAGCAGCCGCGGUAAUACGUAGGUGGCAAGCGUUGUCCGGAAUUAUUGGGCGUAAAGCGCGCGCAGGCGGUCCUUUAAGUCUGAUGUGAAAGCCCACGGCUCAACCGUGGAGGGUCAUUGGAAACUGGGGGACUUGGGUGCUGAAAAGGAGAGCGGAAUUCCACGUGUAGCGGUGAAAUGCGUAGAGAUGUGUAGGAACACCAGUGGCGAAGGCGGCUCUCUGGGCUGUAACAGACGCUCAGGCGCGAAAGAGUGGGGAGCAAACAGGAUUAGAUACCCCCGCUAGUCCACGCCGCCAAACGAUGAGUGCUAAGUGUGAGAGGGGUUACUCCCUUUAGUGCUGUAGCUAACGC
rnacentral:rRNA from 1 species